rnacentral:rRNA from 1 species
GGGGAAUAUUGGACAAUGGGCGCAAGCCUGAUCCAGCCAUGCCGCGUGAGUGAUGAAGGCCUUAGGGUUGUAAAGCUCUUUUAGCAGGGACGAUAAUGACGGUACCUGCAGAAAAAGCCCCGGCCAACUUCGUGCCAGCAGCCGCGGUAAUACGAAGGGGGCUAGCGUUGCUCGGAAUCACUGGGCGUAAAGCGCACGUAGGUGGGUCGUUAAGUCAGGGGUGAAAUCCCGGAGCUCAACUCCGGAACUGCCUUUGAUACUGGCGACCUUCGAGUCCGGGAGAGGUGAGUGGAAUUGCGAGUGUAGAGGUGAAAUUCGUAGAUAUUCGCAAGAACACCAGUGGCGAAGGCGGCUCACUGGCCCGGUACUGACACUGAGGUGCGAAAGCGUGGGGAGCAAAC